rnacentral:rRNA from 1 species
GACGAACGCUGGCGGCGUGCUUAACACAUGCAAGUCGAGCGGAGCGGCGAACGGGUGAGUAACGCGUGAGUAACUGCCCCCCUCUCUGGGAUAACAGUUGGACACGGCUGCUAAUCCCGGAUAGUGGGGGAUGACUCGCGUCCUAUCAGCUUGUUGGUGGGGUAGUGGCCUACCAAGGCGGCGACGGAUAGCCGGCCUGAGAGGGAGACCGGCCACAUGAGGGUAAGGAACGGCGCAAACUCAUAAGGGUGGCAGCGGUGGGGAAUAGUGCACAAAGGGGGAACAUGUGAGGUAGAAACGCCGCGGGAGUGAUGCAGGCCUUAGGGGUGUAAUCCGCUUUCAGCCAAGACGCGGUAGUGGCAGAAGAAGCACCGGAUAACUACGUGCCAGCAGCCGCGGUAAUAC